UCAAACAAUUGACAGGUAUAUAAAAUUAAUAUUUUCGUUAAGAUUUCUUAAAUUUUCUACUGCUUUAAUACUUUUGUGUCGUACUUUAUCUUGGUUUUUGUAAAAUCGACAAUAAAAGAAGUAGAGACGGGCCACAUAAUUUUACGUCGGAAUCGAAUCGCCAUACAGUUUACUUAUUUGUAGGCAAGACGUUUGACCAUUAUCAUAUCUGAUGAAAAGUGAUGAUUUUACGAUCUAUGAUGUUACAAGCCUAACCUAAGUGACAAUGGGUUAAGAGUGUCCCUGGCCGGUGUGAUUACCUGUCCACACGUGCUUGUCUACCAGUCAAGCUGUAGAAUUUCAGGGAUGUACCAUUAUUUAUUACCGGGCUGUUUCAAGAUUACGUGGAAGUUGGGAUCAACGAACGUGAAUCAGUAAGUAAAAAAAUCGAAACGAUAACACUGGAAAAACGAAAAAAUAAUGUAUAAAUAAAGUUCACAAAGACUGCAGUAUUGAUCAAGAAUUUUUAUA